rnacentral:rRNA from 1 species
UACGAAGGGGGCUAGCGUUGCUCGGAAUCACUGGGCGUAAAGGGUGCGUAGGCGGGUCUUUAAGUCAGGGGUGAAAUCCUGGAGCUCAACUCCAGAACUGCCUUUGAUACUGAAGAUCUUGAGUUCGGGAGAGGUGAGUGGAACUGCGAGUGUAGAGGUGAAAUUCGUAGAUAUUCGCAAGAACACCAGUGGCGAAGGCGGACUCACUGGCCCGAUACUGACGCUGAGGCACGAAAGCGUGGAUGAG